rfam:Aspergillus carbonarius ITEM 5010 unplaced genomic scaffold ASPCAscaffold_23, whole genome shotgun sequence.
CCCCUGAUGGUCUAGCUGGUUCAUGGCGUCUGACUGUAAUAUCUAUUGUAAUCAGAAAGUCCCCGGUUCGAUUCCGGGUCGGGGGA